rnacentral:lncRNA from 1 species
AGAGAGCCACUCCCCUCCAGGUUUACCCAUUCACUUCCAAAAAUCCACCGGGAUCUCGUCAGGCCCGGUAGCUCGACCCCUACUCAUCCUGCGCAACGCCCCUAAGACCUCCUCCACCCUAAUGCGCCUGCAGUACCCAAGGUCUCCAUGACGCUCUGAAUGCCCCAGCUCCCCUAGCUCUAUGCUCCGAUCCCCCUGC